GACGAACGCUGGCGGCGUGCUUAACACAUGCAAGUCGAACGAAGUGGCGAACGGGUGAGUAACGCGUAAUCAACCCGCCCUUCAGAGGGGAACAACAGUUGGAAACGACUGCUAAUACCGCAUACUGAAGGAGGGGAUUGCGGCGGAUUAGCUCGUUGGAGGGGUAACGGCCCACCAAGGCGAGGAGCAGUAGCCGUUCUGAGAGGAUGAACGGCCACAUUGGGACUGAGACACGGCCCAGACUUCUACGGGAGGCAGCAGGGGGGAAUCUUCCGAAAUGGACGAAAGUCUGACGUAGCAACGCCGCGUGAGUGAUGACGGCCUUCGGGUUGUAAAGCUCUGUUAAUCGGGACGCGGUACCGGAAUAGAAAGCCACGGCUAACUACGUGCCAGCCGCCGCGGUAAUAC
rnacentral:rRNA from 1 species